AGGCUUACCACAUGCAAGUCGAGCGGAGCGAAGGUGCUUGCACCUUACCUUACCGGCGGACGGGUGAGUAAUGCUUAGGAAUCUGCCUAUUAGGGGGGGACAACGUUUCGAAAGGAACGCUAAUACCGCAUACGUCCUACGGGAGAAAGCAGGGGAUCUUCGGACCUUGUGCUAAUAAAUGACCCUAAGUCGGAUUAGCUAGUUGGGGGGGUAAAGGCCUACCAAGGCGACAAUCUGUAGCGGGUCUGAAAGGAUGAUCCGCCACACUGGGACUGAGACACGGCCCAAACUCCUACGGGAGGCAGCAGUGGGGAAUAUUGGACAAUGGGCGAAAGCCUGAUCCAGCCAUGCCGCGUGUGUGAAGAAGGCCUUUUGGUUGUAAAGCACUUUAAGCGAGGAGGAGGAGCUUCAGGUUAAUACCCUGGAUGCUUGGACGUUACUCGCAAAAUAAGCACCGGCUAACUCUGUG
rnacentral:rRNA from 1 species